rnacentral:rRNA from 2 species
GCAUAUCAAUAAGCGGAGGAAAAGAAACCAACAGGGAUUGCCUUAGUAACGGCGAGUGAAGCGGCAAAAGCUCAAAUUUGAAAUCUGGCACCUUCGGUGUCCGAGUUGUAAUUUGAAGAAGGUAACUUUGGAGUUGGCUCUUGUCUAUGUUCCUUGGAACAGGACGUCACAGAGGGUGAGAAUCCCGUGCGAUGAGAUGCCCAAUUCUAUGUAAAGUGCUUUCGAAGAGUCGAGUUGUUUGGGAAUGCAGCUCUAAGUGGGUGGUAAAUUCCAUCUAAAGCUAAAUAUUGGCGAGAGACCGAUAGCGAACAAGUACAGUGAUGGAAAGAUGAAAAGAACUUUGAAAAGAGAGUGAAAAAGUACGUGAAAUUGUUGAAAGGGAAGGGCUUGAGAUCAGACUUGGUAUUUUGCGAUCCUUUCCUUCUUGGUUGGGUUCCUCGCAGCUUACUGGGCCAGCAUCGGUUUGGAUGGUAGGAUAAUGACUAAGGAAUGUGGCUCUACUUCGGUGGAGUGUUAUAGCCUUGGUUGAUACUGCCUGUCUAGACCGAGGACUGCGUCUUUGACUAGGA